UCUCCAGUAUUGCAUUGCUGCU
rnacentral:miRNA from 2 species